rnacentral:rRNA from 1 species
GUGUCAGCAGCCGCGGUAAUACGGAGGGUGCAAGCGUUAAUCGGAAUUACUGGGCGUAAAGGGUGCGUAGGUGGUUAUCUAAGUUAUCUGUAAAAUCCCUGGGCUUAACCUGGGCAUGUCAGAUAAGACUGGACGACUCGAGUAUGGGAGAGGGCAGUGGAAUUUCCGGUGUAGCGGUGAAAUGCGUAGAGAUCGGAAGGAACACCAGUGGCGAAGGCGGCUGCCUGGCCUAAUACUGACACUGAGGCACGAAAGCGUGGGGAGCAAACAGGAUUAGAAACCCGUGUAGUCC